UAUGGCUCAGAACGAACGCUGUGCGGCAGGCUUAACACAUGCAAGUCGAGCGGGCCCUUCGGGUCAGCGGCAGACGGGUGAGUAACGCGUGGGAACGUACCAUUUGCUACGGAAUAACUCAGGGAAACUUGUGCUAAUACCGUAUGAGCCCCCCUUUAAAAUUUCAGGAAUCAUAAAAUGCCCUGGCAUUUUAUGGGGGGGAAAGAUUUAUCGGCAAAUGAUCGGCCCGCGUUGGAUUAGCUAGUUGGUGGGGUAAAGGCCUACCAAGGCGACGAUCCAUAGCUGGUCUGAGAGGAUGAUCAGCCACACUGGGACUGAGACACGGCCCAGACUCCUACGGGAGGCAGCAGUGGGGAAUAUUGGACAAUGGGCGCAAGCCUGAUCCAGCCAUGCCGCGUGAGUGAUGAAGGCACCUAGGGUUGUAAAGCUCUUUCACCGGUGAAGAUAAUGACGGUAACCGCGAGAAGAAGCCCCGGCUAACUUCGUGCCAGCAGCCGCGGUAAUACGAAGGGGGCUAGCGUUGUUCGGAUUUACUGGGCGUAAAGCGCACGUAGGCGGGCUAAUAAGUCAGGGGUGAAAUCCCGGGGCUCAACCACCGGAACUGCCUUUGAUACUGUUAUGUCUUGAGUAUGUGUAGAGGUGAGUGGAAUUCGCGAGUGUAGAGGUGAAAUUCGUAGAUAUUCGGAGGAACACCAGUGGCGAAGAGCGGCUCACUGGACCAUUACUGACGCUGAGGUGCGAAAGCGUGGGGAGCAAACAGGCAUUAGAUACCCUGGUAGUCCACGGCCGUAAACGAUGAAUGUUAAGCCGUCUGGGGAGUUUACUCUUCGCGUGGCGCAGCUAACGCAUUAAACAAUUCCGCCUGGGGAGUACGGUCGCAAGAUUAAAACCUAUCAAAGGAAUUGACGGGGGCCCGCGGACAAGCGGUGAGCAUGUGGUUUAAUUCGAAGCAACGCGCAGAACCUUACCAGCCCUUGACAUCCCGAUCGCGGUUAGUGGAGACACUAUCCUUCAGUUCGGCUGGAUCGAGACAGGUGCUGCAUGGCUUCGUCAGCUCGUGUCGUGAGAUGUUGGGUUAAGUCCCGCAACGAGCGCAACCCUCGCCCUUAGUUGCCAGCAUUCAGUUGGGCACUCUAAGGGGACUGCCGGUGAUAAGCCGAGAGGAAGGUGGGGAUGACGUCAAGUCCUCAUGGCCCUUACGGGCUGGGCUACACACGUGCUACAAUGUGGUGACAGUGGGCAGCGAGCACGCGAGGUGAGCUAAU
rnacentral:rRNA from 1 species